rnacentral:misc_RNA from 1 species
CAAACGCGAUAUCUAAUAUGAAUUGCAGGCUUCUGUGAAUCAUCGAACCUUUGAACGUACUGCGCCCGGAUUAACCUCUGGGCACAUUCGGUUGAGUGACAAUUUUUAUCGUGGAUCCGCCCCGCAACAGUUUACUGGAGCGCGGGUAGACCGAUUUCAGCGCGCUUGAUUCACAAUCAAUCCGCUCAGAUACGGCAAAACUCGCUCGUGCUUGCGCGCCUCGGAAGUCAGAUUGAUUUAUCGGUUAGGGGGAAAGGGCGUGCGGGCGCAGCGAUAAUAAGGGCUUUGCUUAUUUUUGUUAACCUUGCUUUAGCAGGGGAACCCCAUAUUUAUAUACAAAUUUUGUAUCUGUCCUCAGCUCGAGUGAGACUACCCGCUGAACUUAA